ACUAACAUUCUUCCUCUUGCUGCCUUUGGUCGUUGUGACGUCACGCAAUACAAUAAGUUGUCGUGCAGUAAGAGUGUUAUCCCGGACGACCAUAUAUGUUAAUACUGUGAAGUUGUUUGGUGUUGAUGUGUCAUGGCCGCCAGUGAUGGUGUGUGACGUACGGGGAGUCAGUAUGUGGUGAUGAUGCAAGACACUUCAGGAACUUUUUCAAUCCCAAAUUAAGACUCAUGAUUCAGGGAAGUACAUCACGUCCUAUUAUGCAGCCUCAGACUCUUCAGGAGCUGUGUCUGGAUGAGGCUUGCUUGAUACCCACAGACUCCUACACAAGACUACCAUGGACUUUAAAGGACCAGCUCUUAAAAAAAUUAACCAGAAGAGGCAAAUGCACUGAUGAUAUUUUUUCUUGGCUUAUUCAUUCACGUGUUACUGAACUUGAAUACCAUAUUCCAUGAAAAUGUCAAUUGUAGCAGCAUUAUUUACAAAAACAUGUUGAAUGGCUUGCAAUUCUGAGAAAGAGCAUCCUUUGCACAAAGAAGCCAUCUUGCAACUGACAAAUUUCAAUUCAAAAGCCUGAGCAUGCACUGGAGUAUAACAUGACACCGAGACUUUCGCUGAUUGGCUGGACAUAAUAAUGAAAUUUGCAUGCCUGUUUAAUCUCAGAUGCUGGGGUGGAGUACCUGAAGACAACAAAGUGUUUGAAAGUUUUGUAUAUGCCUGAACCACCAGUUGUUGAGAACAAUAAUUUUUCAGAGAAUUCACUGAUGGGACUAGGUGAAGGAAAAUCAAUGUUAAGAGUGGUUGCACUUAAUGGUCUUUGUGGAGUGACAGAUGGUGUCAUUGGAUCACUGGUAGGAGGAUGUCCUCAGCUGCAGGAAGUACACAUCUCAUCCACAAGUAUUACCAACCAUGCUCUUACUGCUCUAGCAAAUCUAACACAGCUUGUCUGCUUGAAUAUUGGCAAAACACAGAUAAGUGACAUAGGUAUUCAGCAGUUAGUGAGUGGAGGUGUUGGCCAAAGUCUGCGAGAGCUGCGUAUUGAUGGUUGUGUGCGACUUACUGAUGACAGCAUUGAAUCAAUUUGUCAUUGUUGCACUCAUCUCAACAUUCUGUGUUUCCAUCACUGCCCAAGACUGUCAGAUCGUUCUCGAGAGCUAGUGGAUGAAUAUAAGGCCUGGAGGAUGAAGCAGCUCACUUGGACAGUGUACUGAUAUGUCUGUGAUACUCAUACUGGAGAAACAAUUUAACAUUCUUGCAGCUGUCUUACACUGCUGUCUUUUUUUUAAUAUCAACCAUGUGGGGCACCACAGUUCAGUUGGCAGUACUCUUGGCCCACAACUCAAGAAACAUGGAAUCAGUCCCAUGGCCAGAGAGUUGGUAGGGCAUUAUUAACUGUGUGUGCUGAGCUGGCCACUCACCAUAUCAAGUCCCCAAGAUAAGCUAACUUUAGGGGAUGUUAUCCCAUAUAGUGUGGGAAAUGGAAAUGUUAGCUUUAGCAUUUCAGUUCUCUUUUCUGGUUCUUUAGAUUUAUUAAUCUCUGACAAUGCAAAUCCUGACUUAAUCGCUCACUGACUGACAGAAGUAUUUGACCGACCCGUGUUGACAUAGCUUGUGACCAAUUCUUGAUCUUUCUUCUUAGAUGAAUAUAAUGAAGUAUGAUUACUUACUACAGUACAGUACUUAGUAACAUAUUAUCAUUUAUCUUUAAUAUGUGACAUAGUAAGCACCAACAGUGUGUUUAUUGUCUUGGGCCACCACAACAACUACAUGUACAGUCACUCAUAAAAGUAAUGGGCCCCCUUGGGUGAGAGGUCUUGCAACUGGAAGCAGUUCAGUUCUGGUAACAGUGUACCUGAUGCA
rnacentral:misc_RNA from 1 species